UCUCCCCCCUCGUCCCCCCCGCUGGGCUUCGGCGGCUUCGGCGCGCGCGUCCAAGCGGCUCCGGCUGGAAGCGUCAGAAGACGCACGCGGCUUCCGGUGGAUGGAAUGACGCUAAAAAUCAACCGUGCGGAUGGAUAAUUUGUCCUCCUAAGAAACGCUCUUAAAUAUUACAUCGAGUGGUUAAAUCUAUGAAUUAUUCAUGUAAAUAACAAAGGAAAGGUCUGACUGUUGCUGCCUUGUCUUGAUAAAUUAUUGAUAGAAAUUUUAGACUGAUAUCAAUGUACAAAACAGGCAGUACUUUUUACACAGUACUGAUUUAUUAAAAAUAAUUCCCCCAUAAUUACAUUUACAAACUAUAAAUGUUAUGAUGAAAUAGAUUUGAUUAUCGGAUAAAGUUGUGUGAAUAAAUGUUUUAACAUAUCCUUGAAAAUUAGUUGGUGUAUAAAUAUGCUUAUUAUAUAUUUAUAUAAAAACACCCACUACACUAUUAUGCAUCUCUGUUAUACUUGCACCGUUUGCAGGUUUCAGCCUUUAUUUUGAAAACAAGAACGUUCACACACCAUUUCCGGUCUCGUUGAUAACAAAUGUUUUUGAAACAUUGUUACUUCUUGAAAGAGUAUAAACGAGAAAAAUCCCGUUGUUUUCUUUCAGGAUCACAAAUCCAGAGGACGUCAAUUCAUUGUUAUUUUGUUCAACUUUUAACCACAAAUUAAAAACUUUAUUAAUGGGCCGGAAGUUCUCACUAGCAGAAGAAAUAAGUGUUUGCUGGCAUUAGUUUCUGGACAAAUUAAGAGACACAUUGUUGCCACUAAGUACUAGAACUUAUAACAUAGAGAAACAUUUCAAAGGUGACAAUUCAACUCACAGAUCAAAGACUCGUGAUUCUUUUGCCAGUUUCUUUUUUUUUAAUCUCACAAAACACAUGAAUCUGAGACAUGAGCUCUCUUUCCCGUCUGUGCAGCUAAACAAUCUCACCGAUUUUAAAAACAAGGGAGAAGAAAAUAAUUUAUACAUCCUUUUUUUUUUUUAAUCAUAUCUACAAAAAUAAAAUCAAAUACGAGGACUAAGGCUUUACAGGAACAAAAAUAACAAAUAUAAAACAAGUGGGUCUGAUCUCUCUAUAUUACAUGAGUGACAUGUGUUUUAUUUUUUAAAAGACAAAAUAAACCAUGAGAUGAUAGUUAGACGUGUGUAUGCAUACAGUAGUUUGCAUCGUGCAGGGAAGUUUCUUUGUGCAACUCAUUUUUUUUUUUUUUUUUUUUAAGAAUCAGUUAUAGCUUCUUUUUUUCCCCCCUCUUUUUUCAAACCGCCCGUUAAGGCCGAAACGCUGACGUCAAUGUACGAGAUAAAUGCAUGAAAAGAAGAAAUCAUGGAGGAUACAAAGAGGUAGAAGUUGGAGAUGAAAAUGCUGUAGUUAAAGAGGAGGAACAUUUGACUCGUUUCAACCCCCUCAGACCAUUUUCGUCACGUAUGUGACAGCUCGGCACAUGAUGGACAAAAAAAACAAAACGAACGUCUGGUCUGAGAAGCUUGAAAAUCAGCAGCUGAAAUGUUGAGAGAAAAAAAAUGGUUCCCUUCAACGCCUCUGAAGACAUUUUUCACUUUGGUAGAAUAUUUCAGCAUUUCAGCAAAAACAUUUCCCUCAAUUUGCAUGCGAGUCUCCCCAAAGACACCCGGGCAGCGAGACACUGCCAAGCAGCACAACCCGAAGGCCACUCGGGCCCCGUCCGGGUCCCGUUAGCGUAUCCUCCGUUAGCAUUUCAAACCCGCUCAAGCGAAGUGCCAGCGGAGCUUCUUCUUGCGUUGAAAAAGCUCGCGCAGUCUAAAUGCGUUCUGGCUGCUUGGUGCUUGGGUGGAAUCACUCCACGGCGCCGCUCUCUGCCGGUCACGCGCAGCCUCUUAAGUGCGAUCCAGACGUAGUGUUUGCUGACGAGAUCCGUGCGCUCGUGUCGGUGCGUUGUGCGUAAAUCAAAGUAGUGUUGAUUUUUGCAAACAAGUACAUUUCCCAGAAUGACAAUGUCCGCUUCAACGAAACAGUUGCAUAUACGGCAGCGGUUUCUUAUUUUACUGCAGAUUGAAAUUCUUAUCAAGCUUUUGAUUCCUCCUCCGCCGGCCUCCCAUGUGGGCGACGUUGAUAUGAAAUAGGACUUCAGAAGAAGGGGAGAAGGUGGCGCGUCACAGUGAGAGGAGGCCACAGGCGGGAAAUGACCGUUCAGUGAAUAUUUCUACGUUGGGACUCUUCUUGUCGGAGCCGCUGUGCGACUCGAGGAGACGUCAGCGGGGCCGCGACUCUUCCCAAAGACCCUCGUGCUUCCUCCACCGCGAUGUGUGAAGGUCUGAGAUGAAUGAAAUGGUCACGUGUGUGUGUGUGUGUGCGUGUGUGUGAUAAUGGUUUCCUUACCCAGUGCAAAUAACCUGAAUUAUAAAGACACAGUCCUUCGGCCGUGGUGGCGAGUGAACUCAGUGUAAAGCAACCAGUGGGGGGGGGGGCCUCAAACAUCGGCUCCUAAAUAAAGUCAGUGGCAUCUCCGGUCCCUGAUUCGUUCCAGAGGGAUGCAUUGUGGGUAAAGUGCAGGGGUGACGGGUCCCUCGGAGAUUUCCUUAAAUUAAAAAUUUCAACACUUUUCCGCUUCGUUCCUUCAAACCAACAAAACAUACGACUCCUUUUCCUUCACAAACAUCCAACAAGGGUCAUUUGUUUCCCACUUUCCAUUCCUCCAACUCCCCCCUCUCCCUCCCUCCCUCCCUCCCUCCCUCCAUCUCUUCAGUCAACUUGUCUUCUUCCUCUUUUUGUUCCUUCAUGCUCUUCCCCCCUCGGCCCGUCCCGGACUCCCUGCUCCUCCUCUGGUAGGAGUCAGAGUUUGUCCUGAAAACAGCUACAGUCCGUCCCGGCCUCCGUUCCACUGGCCAGUGCAUGCGGGUGGGGGCGAGAAGGGAGGCAGUGGCCGAGGAGUCCGAGUGCUUCCCUUGCCAUCAAUGGAGAUCGAGCAACCGGCGAGUAGAAUCCUCUCCGCAGCGACGUCAGAAUCCCGUCGACUGAACUCUGGGCUCCGCCGGGCCGCCCGCUUUGCCUGGUCGGGGGGGGAGGAGGACAUGAAUAAAUGAAGCUGCGUUAUGUGAAAGUGAAUCAGCGGCCGGCGUUCGGUCGGCGCUCACCGUCCGCCGAGCCGCGAUCCAGACUCGGUGUUCUGGAGACGGUUGCCGGGCAACGCGGCUGGUCCUCCGGCUCCUCAUCGGCAAAGGGCUCUCUGAGGGUUUUUAAAAGCUUUUGAUGGGACUUCUCGAUUUCCUGUGGAGGGAACGGAAAACGACACCAGAUUUAGAAGAUACGUGAGAGAAAAGAACAGGUGGAGGGUCGGUUGUCGCUGAAAAACGAAACAAACGCACCCUCAGCUGGCGCAACUUGCUCAUCAACCCCUCGAUCGUGUGGAAAAUCUCGUCCACAUUUCUGAUCACGUGGCUCUGGGGGCCGGCCUGCGAUGGGCCCGCUUCCUCGUCCCCCUCCCGCCGCACGGCCCCCGAUUGGCCGGGCUCCUCCUCGGGGGCCGGCGUCUCCUCCUCGGGCUGCGUCCGUGGCGAUGUCCCGUCCUCCGGAGGCGGGGGGGGGACGCGAGGGCCGCUGAGGUCAUCGGUGGCGCUCUCCCCCGGCUCCGUGGGCAUGACCAAGUAGAAGGUGUUCCCUGGAGGGCAGAACGUGAGCGCGUGAGCAAUAAACAUCACACUCGACAAAUAUUUGACAUGUGAAUAAAAAAAAGAAAUAAAGUAUUUGUCUGAUAAAAGCUACAGAACCAAUUGUAGCCAUCAUUACCCUGCGUGGCGGCCUCGCCUCUCGGCUUGGAUGAUUGAUCAGCAGUGAUGUCGUCAGGGACAGAGGAAGAAGAAGAAGGACCCGCAACCACAGCUAUAGCACAAGAUAGAGGAUAGAAAAGUGUGCGUGUGUGUGUGUGUGUGUACGUGAAUUAAGGAAGCGUGAAGAAGGCGAUGAGGUGUGUUUGUGAAGAGCACCCGGACAAAAGAGAAAGAGCAGAUCGAGCGCGUGAGGAACCGAACAACGAACCACCGUGUGCAGCGGGAAACAUGCAGAGGGAGGCAGCUGUUAAAGAGCUUCACCGGGACAUCGGAGAGAACGUAGUCCUCUAAUCCAGAUGUUCAUCCAGAGGGAAACAAAAGGCGAUCCGCCCCAAAAUAAAUGCAACAUGCAAUCGGAAAUGUAGGACAGCUUGGCGGGGGAACUUUCUCCUUCUCAUCUGCUACCUUUCCGCACGACCUGAACGCUGCCGGGCGGCUCCCCGUCGGGGGGCGGAGCCUCUGCGUCGGGCUCGGCCUCCCACUCGUCGGCGCUGAAGUGGAGGACCGUCUCCAGGGACUCCGGCCGCCGCGAGCUCCUCUCGCUGGCCGUCUCGUUGGUGGGCGUGUCCCCCGAAUUGUGGCUCCAAGCGUCUCCCUCUUCCAAGUCUCUCAAUAUGAGCUGCCUUAG
ensembl:lncRNA